GUGUCAGCAGCCGCGGUAAUACGUAGGGGGCAAGCGUUGUCCGGAUUCAUUGGGCGUAAAGAGCGUGUAGGCGGUUAGGUAGGUCAGUUGUGAAAACUGGAGGCUCAACCUUCAGACGUCGACUGAAACCCCCUGGCUAGAGUCCGGGAGAGGAGAGUGGAAUUCCUGGUGUAGCGGUGGAAUGCGCAGAUAUCAGGAAGAACACCCGUGGCGAAAGCGGCUCUCUGGAACGGUACUGACGCUGAGACGCGAAAGCGUGGGGAGCGAACAGGAUUAGAAACCCUAGUAGUCC
rnacentral:rRNA from 1 species